AUCUCGAUUUCAAGCUCGCCGACGAUCCUAACCUCUCUCUGCAGCGGUACGGCCAGUACUUAUACGAUGGACUCGCCCUCUUCGCCCCUUCAAUCGCUCGGUUUGGAGGGACGAUGGAUCAGGCGGAGGUUCUCGAUUUCGUGGAUGCGGGUCGGGAUCUGAUCCUGGCGGCGGAUCCGUCAGCGUCGGAGUUGGUUAAGGGGAUCGUGGCCGAGUGCGGGGCUGAUUUUGAUGAGGAUUCACUGGGUGGAGACCGCCAAAGAGCAGGCUAGCUCCCUAAGCAAUAUAAAGCACAAUCUUGUAGGCUUGAAUGUAGGUAAUGUCCUACCCUGACUAACUUUCAUUUAUGUCAUCUUCUUGUUGAUAGUUUGCAUGCAAUAGAAGAGAACUCUUGAAUUUUGAUUCUGCAGGAGAAGAGUUUCAGAUAAGAAACUGGUUGGGCAUUUAUUGUAGCUGAUCAAGGAGGAAGAAACAUGAUGCUUCAACAACUUGAAGGAGUAAAUGCAAUUGGAUUCUAUAAAUUAUGCAAAGUUCAUCAAGUUAUGUAAACAAUUGUAUUCUUUAUAAUCUAUGUAAUAAAUUUAUGUAUAUUUCUAGUAUUUUGGUGAAUGUAUUAUUUGAAUAUAAUUAUAUUUGAUAUUGAAAUAUAAUUAGAUCA